rnacentral:rRNA from 1 species
GAUGAACGCUAGCUACAGGCUUAACACAUGCAAGUCGAGGGGCAGCAUGACGAUAGCUUGCUAUUGUUGAUGGCGACCGGCGCACGGGUGAGUAACGCGUAUCCAACCUGCCCUUGUCCAUCGGAUAACCCGUCGAAAGGCGGCCUAACACGAUAUGCAGUUCUCGGCAGGCAUCUAACGAGAACGAAAUGUGAAGGAGAAGGAUGGGGAUGCGUCUGAUUAGCUUGUUGGCGGGGUAACGGCCCACCAAGGCGACGAUCAGUAGGGGUUCUGGGAGGAAGGGCACCCAAAUUGGAAAUGAGACACGGGCCAAACUCCUACGGGAGGCAGCAGUGAGGAAUAUUGGUCAAUGGACGGAGGUCUGAACCAGCCAAGUAGCGUGCAGGAUGACGGCCCUAUGGGUUGUAAACUGCUUUUAUACGGGGAUAGAGUGAGGGACGUGUCCCUUAUUGCAGGUACCGUAUGAAUAAGGACCGGCUAAUUCCGUGCCAGCCGCCGCAGUAAAAC